GUUUAUGACCAUACCACCCUAAACAAGCCUGAUCUCAUCUAAUCUUGGGAGGCCCAGCAAGGUUGGACCUGGUUAGUACUUAGAUGCAAGACUGUCUGGUAAUACUGGAUGCUAUAGGCU
rnacentral:rRNA from 1 species